UACGGGGGGGGCAAGCGUUGUUCGGAAUUACUGGGCGUAAAGGGCUCGUAGGCGGCCAACUAAGUCGGAUGUGAAAUCCCCAGGCUCAACCUGGGAACUGCAUCCGAUACUGGAUGGCUUGAAUCCGGGAGAGGGAUGCAGAAUUCCAGGUGUAGCGGUGAAAUGCGUAGAUAUCGAGAGGAACACCUGCGGCGAAGGCGGGUUGCUGGGCUGACACUGACGCUGAUGCGCGAAAGCUAGGGGAGCGAACGGG
rnacentral:rRNA from 1 species